GAUGAACGCUGGCGGCGUGCUUAACACAUGCAAGUCGAACGAUGAAGCCCAGCUUGCUGGGUGGAUUAGUGGCGAACGGGUGAGUAACACGUGAGUAACCUGCCCUUCACUCUGGGAUAAGCCUGGGAAACUGGGUCUAAUACCGGAUAGGAGCGCCUACCGCAUGGUGGGUGUUGGAAAGAUUGAUCGGUUUUGGAUAGACUCGCGGCCUAUCAGCUUGUUGGUGAGGUAAUGGCUCACCAAGGCGACGACGGGUCGCCGGCCUGAGAGGGUGACCGGCCACAAUGGGACUGAGACACGGACCAGAAUGCUACGGGAGGCAGCAGUGGGGAAUAUUGCACAAUGGGCGAAAGCCUGAUGCAGCGACGCCGCGUGAGGGAUGACGGCCUUCGGGUUGUAAACCUCUUUCAGUAGGGAAGAAGCGAAAGUGACGGUACCUGCAGAAGAAGCACCGGCUAACUACGUG
rnacentral:rRNA from 1 species